AUUGAACGCUGGCGGCAGGCCUAACACAUGCAAGUCGAACGAGUGGCGGACGGGUGAGUAAUGUCUGGGAAACUGCCUGAUGGAGGGGGAUAACUCCUGGAAACGGUAGCUAAUACCGCAUACCAUCAGAUGUGCCCAGAUGGGAUUAGCUAGUUGGUGGGGUAACGGCUCACCAAGGCGACGAGCCCUAGCUGGUCUGAGAGGAUGACCAGCCACACUGGAACUGAGACACGGUCCAGACUCCUACGGUAGGCAGCAGUGGGGAAUCUUCCCCAAUGGGCGAAAGCCUGAUGCAGCCAUGCCGCGUGUAUGAUGAAGGCCUUCGGGUUGUAAAGCUCUUUCAGCGGGGAAGCGUUACCCGCAGAAGAAGCCCCGGCUAACUCCGUGCCAGCAGCCGCGGUAAUUC
rnacentral:rRNA from 1 species